AAUGUAUGACAACAUGUCCACGAUGGUGUAUAUAAAGGAAGACAAGUUGGAGAAGCUUACACAGGAUGAAAUCAUUUCUAAGACAAAACAAGUGAUUCAAGGGCUGGAAGCUCUGAAGAAUGAGCACAAUUCCAUUUUACAAAGUUUACUUGAGACACUGAAGUGUUUGAAGAAAGAUGAUGAAAGUAAUCUGGUGGAAGAGAAAUCAAACAUGAUCCGAAAGUCACUGGAAAUGUUGGAGCUUGGCCUGAGUGAGGCACAGGUCAUGAUGGCUUUGUCCAACCACCUGAACGCUGUUGAGUCCGAGAAGCAGAAACUGCGUGCACAGGUCCGUCGGCUAUGCCAGGAGAACCAGUGGCUGCGGGACGAACUGGCCAAUACGCAGCAGAAAUUACAGAAGAGUGAGCAGUCUGUGGCUCAACUGGAGGAGGAAAAGAAGCAUCUGGAAUUCAUGAAUCAGUUAAAAAAAUACGAUGAUGACAUCUCUCCAUCCGAGGACAAAGACACCGAUUCCACCAAAGAGCCUCUGGAUGACCUUUUCCCAAAUGACGAUGACGAUCCUGGUCAAGGAAUCCAGCAGCAGCACAGCAGUGCGGCGGCCGCUGCGCAGCAGGGCGGCUACGAGAUCCCAGCGCGGCUGCGCACCCUCCACAACCUGGUCAUCCAGUACGCCUCGCAGGGGCGCUAUGAGGUGGCCGUGCCGCUCUGCAAGCAGGCCCUGGAGGACUUGGAGAAGACGUCCGGCCAUGACCACCCAGAUGUGGCCACCAUGCUGAACAUCCUGGCCUUGGUGUACAGAGACCAGAAUAAAUACAAAGAUGCCGCUAAUCUACUGAACGAUGCCUUGGCCAUCCGUGAGAAAACUUUGGGCAAAGAUCAUCCCGCGGUGGCAGCGACUCUGAAUAACCUUGCAGUGCUUUAUGGCAAAAGAGGGAAGUACAAAGAGGCCGAACCGCUGUGUAAAAGAGCUCUGGAGAUCAGAGAAAAGGUUUUGGGCAAGGAUCACCCCGACGUUGCCAAGCAGUUAAAUAACUUGGCCUUACUGUGCCAGAAUCAGGGCAAGUACGAGGAAGUAGAGUAUUAUUAUCAGAGAGCCCUCGAGAUCUACCAAACGAAACUGGGGCCCGAUGACCCCAAUGUGGCCAAAACAAAAAAUAACCUGGCAUCCUGCUAUCUGAAGCAAGGAAAAUUCAAGCAAGCAGAAACACUGUACAAAGAGAUUCUCACUCGUGCACACGAAAGGGAGUUUGGUUCUGUAGAUGAUGAAAAUAAACCCAUUUGGAUGCAUGCUGAAGAAAGAGAAGAAUGCAAAGGAAAGCAAAAGGACGGGACAUCUUUUGGAGAGUAUGGUGGUUGGUACAAAGCCUGCAAAGUUGAUAGUCCGACUGUUACAACUACUUUGAAAAACCUUGGGGCACUUUACAGACGUCAAGGCAAAUUUGAAGCUGCAGAAACAUUGGAAGAAGCAGCCAUGAGGUCCCGUAAGCAGGGUCUUGACAACGUUCACAAACAGAGAGUAGCUGAAGUGCUGAAUGACCCUGAGAACAUGGAGAAGCGGAGAAGCCGGGAGAGCCUGAACGUGGACGUGGUCAAGUACGAGAGCGGCCCUGACGGAGGGGAGGAAGUGAGUAUGAGCGUAGAGUGGAACGGGGUAAGUACAGUACACAGCUCUCGGCGCGCUCAGGCGGGCGCUUGUCUGUCGCCGGGAGGCCACCUGGGCCAGGCUCCCUGCAGGAGUGCUGUCCAGCAGUUUGCUCCUGGCUUACGUGCUAGACACUGUCCUUUUCUCAAAUUAACUAUGAAUUAAGCCUUUUGUAAGUGCUUAUCUUCUGCUGAUGAAGUCUGUUAUUUGUUUGACGUGGUCGUGUUCUUCUCUUCAGGAACCCACGAAAGCUGUUUGGCUUAACUUUGAGCACUUAAAUGCUGAUUGAGUGUCCUGGUUAUUUAGAGCCAUAAUCCAUAACCUGGUUUUAUUUUAAUAUUAGGAUUAGUGUGGCAGAAAACUAACUUGCUUUUUUAACGUGCCCAUUUUCAUUGCUAACUCCAGUGCUCCUAAUUUCACUGACCAGGCUGCUGUAGAUUUUGCGAGAAUUAAUUUAAAUUCCUUAAAGGGAAUGAUGUUUCGAACAGAGCUUGUUGCUAGAGAAGAACAGGUUGGGGCGGCUGCUCUUGGUGGCCCACCUCGGUGCUGAAUGUCUUGUUCCCACUGAGGGUCCAGGGGCUUGUCUCCCUUCACAGCCCUCUGCCAGAGGUUUUUUGGAUCCAGAGCACGGGCCUGUGUUUGGAACACGUCACUCCUGGCCAGGCUCUACCUCUGGGUUUCAAUGGUUUGCCUUUAUGGAGAUUCUCACCACUGCUGUUUAUCCAGUGGUUGCCAAAGAGAGUGUGGCCUCCUGGACGUUUUUUCCUGGUGGAUGUUGGUUACACGUGGUAAUACUUUUGUAUGUUGAACUGGUAUCUUUAGAAUCUUGCUUUUAUCAGGGAGAGCUGAAUGCAGGAUUAAGUGCACGAUCAAUUUUUUUUUUUGGAGUUGCAGUACGUGCAGUUUGAUUAGUUGUAGCUGUGCAUAUGUAUUUGCCAAAUAGUAAUCUUGGGCUUUCCUGUACUCUAUCUUUUUGAAUCUAUUUAUUUUUGGUAUUUUCUAUAGCUGGAGCGGUUUGGUAAGGCUGAGACAUUUUCUACAUAAUGUUACUGGCCAACAUUUCAGGAGAGCGUCUUUUUGACGGUAUCUGGCAGCUGCCUUGCUUUGGUGUUUCCUGUGCCAAGACAACCAAUCAGCAUCUGCUUUGACCAUUCCCCCAUUGGGCAGUAGUCUAACACAAAAACGCUGAAGGCCAGGCCCUCCUCUCCCCUGCAUCUGGCCACACUGUGUACUGUACUCUCCCCGUGAUUCCUGUGUCCUGCAUGCCUUGUGUAGAGGGUCAUGUCCCUUCUCCAGGCUGUAGAAGCCAGGGUGCAGAUUUUGAUACUCUUGAACGAAGUUCUGGAGGAGCUUUUUCUUGAGACAGUAUUUCUAGGUCAAUCUUUCUGCGCAAUCCUAUAAUAAAAUUAUUGGCAGUGCAGAGUUCUGUUACCAUCUUCAAGACUGAGACUCAGGGGUGAGGGAGAGCUGCUUUCCCUCCAGUGUGGAGGGCUGGUAGGCAGCUUCCUGUCAGGCCUGCUGCCGGAAUCACAGAUGCAGCGGGCAGAAGCAGUCCCUCCUCUGAGUGCAUGCUCAGUCCUCCUUCCAUUUCACAUUUCCCAUCUCACUUCGGACAUGCUUUCACUUAGAACACUCACACACGGGGCCUUGGACACCUUUGUACUUGACUCGUGGAACUAGAGGCUCUGUAUCUUUGACAGAGUCCAUCGCAGGGCUCGUUGGUUGGUCGGUGGUCCAAUGGCUGAAAGAAUCUAGAUCCCAGAUCUUAGGUCAUCCCGUAAAGUGGUUCCAAACUCGCUCUGAGCAGCAGAAGGGACCCUUCACAGAGAGUUUGAGAUCAAGCAGCAGGUGACUCAGAAACUGCCCAGGUUACCGACGGGGUAGCCGCCCGGGCUGGUGUGCUCAGCACCAGGCCCCCCGAGGCCCCUGCUCAGAUUCAGCCCACCUUCACCUUCGCAGGAAGGCCCGGCUCUCAGGUUCUGAGGUGGUGCUGAGCUCGCCCAACAUUUGGUUGGAGUUUCAUUUUCAGAGCCUACUGUGACUGUGUAAGAAAAGGCAGUGCAGGCAGUACGCACACCGGGACUUGUUUUGAGUCAGCCUGAUUGAGGUGGAGGUAUAUGCAACUAAAGGGGCCCGUGUUAAACGUCCCCUCAGUGCAGCUGUCAGUACACUGCGGCCCCCACGUUAGUCUUUGUCUGGGUGUGAGACUGAGUGACUCAGGCCCUCAGAGAGGUUGUGAGGAGUUAGUUCCCUGGGAGGACCAGGCGCAUGGUUGAGAACGGCUGCCACCCGCCACCAUUUCCCUGUGCGCAGCCAGAUUCUGGUGUCGGCUAGAAACGGUUGGGAAGUUUAGGUGUCAGGGCUAGACCUGUCAUCUGUAAUUUUAUAUUUCAAGUUGUGGGUUCUGUAAAGGUGGCUUCGUUGUUCUGUUUCAUGUCAUUCUAAGAAUUUGUUACACAUUUAUAACGAGAAAAUGCCACCUAGAUUUUAUCUUGUAUUGGAGUUUUGCAUUAGAUUUUAAGUUUUUAAAAAAGGGUUUCAGUGCCCUUUAAAAAGUUUAAAGGGAACAGCAUCGUGUUAACUGUGUGGGGCAGGUGCUCCUCCUGUGGGGAGGAUGUCAGUCCUGUCCCGUUGUCAUAGCCGUGUCCACGAGACCACGUGGCUGUGAUUGGUCCCAACAUUCAGAAACACCAUGUAAAACAGUGGGCAGUGUGGGCAGAGGUCAGUCAGUCUAGAUUCUAAUUACGCCCUGCAGAUGUGGGAAGUCUGGGUCAGGACAGAAUUCCAUGCUGUUAAAAUACAAGAAAAGUAAAGUUACUACAUAAUCAUUCACAUGGAAUUUCUCCAUCAAGUUCUUGGGGAAGUGCAGUCUGUUCUAUUAAGUAUAUACUGUUAAGAUGGGGAUUAAAGUACUUGAAAAUGUAACUUCCUCAAGCUUAUUUGUGAAUAAAGGUACACAGAGCUGAAAGUCAUCGUCAGGAUAAGCCUGAGUUCUCUUUUCUGGUCCCGCUAAAAACGGAAAUGCUGUGUGCAAAGGAAUCCUUUCUGGCUAAAUGGGGUUCCCUUUACCGUCUGCGCACGUGGCUGCCGUCCCCUCCAAGGCUGCAUCUGCCACCCCUGGGGCCUGGGCCCCUCACACACAUCGGAGCCCUGUGCUGCGUGGUUAUGAAAUGAUCAUACUUGCAGCCAUCCCACUAGGGCCCCAGGAAAUAUCAUGUCUUCUACUCUGUCUGUCUCCUCUACUCUGUCCUUUUGGUUUUUGACUUGCCAGUUCCCUGCAGGGCCCUUCAGAAGGAGCCUGUCCCACCCACACCCUGUGUUAGUGCUUGUUUUCCAAAGACACUGAACUCUUGCCCAAGAUGACUGAGGAAUGGGAUAGUAUAUGCUAUUAAUUAGAAAUAGAGUUUUAGUUUUAAAAAGUAUAUUAGGAAGACAAUUAGAAUAUAACAAAGGAAAAAAAAUAACAAAUUACCCGAAAUCUAUAGAUCGUGAUUACUGCCUUAACGUUUCUUCACCAAUAUAGUUACGCUGUUCAUUUCUGUUCAGAAACCCACUUUUCUGAUGUAAGUGUUCUUUCAUGGCAAUAUAAAGAAGUAGACUGCUUUUGAAAGAGUUAGAAUGCAGGAGACCUCCCAACCCUCCAGCUUUUACUGAAUAGAAAUCCACUGGGGUUCGGGGUGGGAUUCGGGCGGGUUCCUGCUGCUGUUCUGGCUGGUUCUCAAGGGCAAGGGCGGGGGCGGGGGGGGGGAGGUUGGCAGCCCACUCUACCGCCCCCCUUCCCCCAGCCAGGUGCUGCCUCCGGAGCCCAGCUCCUGUGCGCCUGCUGCUGCAGGGGUGAGGGAUUGGGCAGGGGGAGCAUGUGGGUGUGUCACAGGAAGUACUCCUGGAAUCUGGUCGCUCUCCCAUAGUCUGCUGGGUGGCUAGACAGGAAAGUUGGAAGUGACAGUUGCUGUAGUGCAGCAGUAAAUUCUGAAAUGAACUGCAGGAGUCGCACUGUUUGUGGAAUUGAUGGUUUAAUGUCCUUUUUCUGAAAGAGCAACAAGAACUUAUGUUUUCUUGUUCUCCUGACAUUCGUGGGGAGUUGGUAACAAAUCUUAUUUUUCCAUUUUAAAGAUGAGAAAAAUGAAGCUCGGGCUGGUUAAAUGACUUGCUGAGCAUCCCAUGGCCUAGCUGCCUCAUGUGAUGCUCACACUGUCUCCUGCAUGACGGGCGGCUCCUCCUCCAGCUUUACUUCUCUCUCCAGUGCUGACUGCUGUGUUUAGCAAUCCCCUAGGAUUCUUGUCAGAGCUCCACCUCUCUGUGACUGGCCAUUCCUUUCGGUGCUGCUGUCCUUUUGGGGGGUUCCUUAUCUCUGUAUACAUGUAGCUUUGCCAGAUAUGUACUUAGUAAUAUAAACUGUGUUAAUAAAAACCAUUUACUGUGUGAUACAUGAGUUUAAGAAUUAAGAGCGAUUAGUUGUUCACUUUGAUCAAAGGUAGUUAGAAGUCUCCCGCAGGUGUUAAUGCCGUGGCAUGACUGUGACCGUUGAACUAGCUAGGCUGUAGGAAUAGGGCAUGUGCUGCUCCUGUUGCCCUCCGAGACCCGGCGGGGCCACCCGUGCCCCGGGCUCUCCCCUUAGGAUCUCACUCAAGUAGCAUUUGCUGUGUCUCUGUGACAUUUUGGCAAUUUUGCUUUUCUCCACUAAUCUUUAAGUGUUCAGUGAUUUGUGUAUUUGUGUCUUUCUAACUUCUAAUAAACUCACUCCAACUGA